GUCCCUAAUGAACGUUGAUCUAAACGUACCAUAUUGUGAAAGCAAGGAACGUGCAUUUUUUUAAUGUUCAUUUUCUAAAAAAAAAAAUCAUCACUUACAAAUAAUAUUCUUAUUUAAUUGAAAAAAAUGUGAAUUCAAACCUUUAAGGGACCUAUCAAUUAACUUUAUGGUUUGAGUGACGCAUUUUGUCAUUAAUUUUGUUCACUAGUGCACGAUAAAUGUUCAAUGUACUCCUUCAUCCGUUUGUAUCUUGAUAUCCUGUACUAUUGUAAAUACUUCAAUACACAUGAUACAGGUCGAUUCAGUUGAGCGUUAACAAAUUAACAUGGUUUACAAAAAAAAGAAGAAAAAAACGGAAUAGAUUGCAUCUAUUGCAGACGUACCGAAACUUGAACGUUUAGGGCUAUAUUUGGUACUGUCAAAUAGAUUGUCUCACACUGAGCAGCAUAAAUCAUUUGCAUAAAAAAUCCUAUUAAAUGUUUUUGGCGACUGAAUGAUAUUGACAGUGUAAAAGUUUUACUGAUAUCAGUUAGCUAAAUGUCAAAACCAUUACACAACGUAUAAAUCAAUAUUUCUCCUUGCCUACCAAACUCAAUACAUCAUUGUUUACAAUACAAGAUCGACGUGUCCUAAAUUAUCUUGGCAGUUAUAAACUUCAAAACCUUAGCUAUGUAUGCCGCCAGCUGGCUAAAUGAAAUGGCAAAGGUUGUUUGUUGUUUCUCUUACAUAUCAUUUGUGCGUGACUGAGGAGAAACGCAGUCAUUGGUUGCUAUGAAAAAAGACAAGCAAAAUGGCGAAUUCUCUACCUUUUUAUCUGGUGUAAAAAUCCACAAUAAUACAUCAUAGAAUGGCAUAAUCUCCCAGGCGAGUAAUUACAUCCAAAUGAAUGCACAAAACACGUUAUGCAAAUAUAUAUACACCACCAUUUUUAUGCAUGCAAACUUUAUCCAAAAACAUCAACAUUUAAAAAUGGUAAAUGAGCUCAAUUAUCCUUGCACGUAACUGUAAUCUGUUCGUACAACCAUUGUUUUGAUGAACAAAAUCAACCUACUAGAGGUCUCAACGGUAAUACACAUAAUUACAUUACGCAUGGAUGGUAUAUUUAUUUUAUCUGACACACAUUCUUCAUGUUCUUAACA
rnacentral:lncRNA from 1 species